AAUCAUUUGCUGCAGCUCAAAAUCAAAUUGAAGAUCUUAACCGUUAUCACCAAUAGCACACAGUUUCACACAUAAAUCGCCUAUAUGAACCGAAACAGAAUAGAAGAAAUCUAUGUGAUCAAAAUCAAACUCUACAACAAUUACCCUUCUGACUUGAUCAUUAUCGAAACAAAGCAGAAUAGCAAUAACUUAAAAAUUAAAACUACUGAUAUAUCCCAUAGAUGUAUCAAUCAAUCCACUUAUUCAAGAACAAACUUACUUAAUAUUUUUCAAAAUAGAACAAUGUAAAAACCAAACAAAAUUUUAAAACACACACUGAAGCAA
rnacentral:lncRNA from 1 species